rnacentral:lncRNA from 1 species
UGGUGCAAUCUCAGCUCACUGCAACCUCUGCCUUUUGGGAUCAAGCGAUUCUCCUGCCUCAGACUCCCAAGUAGCUAGGAUUACAGGUCAUCUGAAUAUCCAGGCACAACCCAGGCAUACCAGACCUUGAUCACACUGGACGUGCGUGACUGUGGGGAUGUGGUGUGUAAAGCAAGAAAACAUAGGGACAGAAAUACAACACUGGAGAGAUCACUUGAUGUCAUUUCUGAUGGCUUUUAUCCAUCUUGCCCAAAUAAAAUAAACAAAUUUCCCUGGUACUUUA